rnacentral:rRNA from 1 species
AGUUAACGCUGGCAGCGUGCAUAACACAUGCAAGUCGAGCGGGUUUUGGCAGUGUAUCGCUAGAAUUAGCGGCAGACGAGUGAGUAACACGUAAGAAAUCUAUCCUAAAGAAGGGAACAACCAGCCGAAAGGCUGGCUAAUACCCUAUAUAAUCCCGAGUUGGCAUCUUCCUGGGAUGAAAGCCGUAAGGCGCUUUGGGCGGAUCUUGCGACCUAUCAGCUUGUUGGUGAGGUAACGGCUCACCAAGGCAAUGACGGGUAGCCGGCCUGA